GAUGAACGCUAGCGGCAGGCCUAAUACAUGCAAGUCGAACGGGUGGUCGCAAGACCACUAGUGGCGCACGGGUGCGUAACGCGUAACCAACCUGCCCCGAUCUGGGGGAUAGCCCGCCGAAAGGCGGAUUAAUACCGCAUAUACCCGCAGCCUGGCAUCAGGCAACGGGGAAAGAUUUAUUGGAUCGGGAUGGGGUUGCGUGACAUUAGCUAGUUGGCGGGGUAAGGGCCCACCAAGGCGACGAUGUCUAGGGGACCUGAGAGGGUGAUCCCCCACACUGGCACUGAGAUACGGGCCAGACUCCUACGGGAGACAGCAGUAGGGAAUAUUGGGCAAUGGGCGAGAGCCUGACCCAGCCAUGCCGCGUGCCGGAUGAAGGCCUUCUGGGUUGUAAACGGCUUUUCUCAGGGAAGAAAAAGACCUUGCGAGGUACACUGACGGUACCUGAGGAAUAAGCACCGGCUAACUCCGUG
rnacentral:rRNA from 1 species